rnacentral:rRNA from 1 species
GGGUCUACCCAUUGGUCAGGCUUAAUUGUCUGCACUGGUGAGAUGGAUCUCUACCUUCUGAGGAACUUUCAUGCCAUUAAUUUGGUGUUUUGGGGAAUUUGGACUGUUACUUUGAAAAAAUUAGAGUGUUUAAAGCAGACUGUCGUCUGAAUACAUUAGCAUGGAAUAAUGAAAUAGGACGGACUGAUUCUAUUUCGUUGGUUUCUAGGAUCACCGUA